GCCAGACAUGCUGUCUAAAAUCAAGCCUUUUGGGUUUUUUUGGUUUUUUUACAUCUCAGAGUUUUCUUUCAUUUCCUCACACAGAAGCACAUUACGCUGGAUUAUGGACUAAGUCAGGAAGAUAUUUAAAGCAGGUGUAUCAAGAACCUUUCUUCAGUCCAAGCCUCUUCCAAAAUUCCCAGGAUAAGAACUGUUCUGUUUGCAUCAGGUACCUACACCAGCACUAAUCAACUGUAGAGAUAAAGCCAUGUCACAAGGAAGGAAAAAGGCAGUACAUUCAAGCUAACAGAAUGGGGAAAAGGGACAUCCCAGAAAAUGGGUCCCAUCCACAUGGCUGCUACCAGGGAAGGUCAAGAAUGUCUUCUCCUGUGAAUGGAUAAAAAAGCUGUGGUAUAUAUACACAAUGGAAUAUUCUGCAGCCAUCAAAAGGAAUGAGAUCUUGCCAUUUGCAACGACGUGGAUGGAACUGGA